CCUACGGGUGGCAGCAGUGAGGAAUAUUGGUCAAUGGACGAGAGUCUGAACCAGCCAAGUAGCGUGAAGGAUGACUGCCCUAUGGGUUGUAAACUUCUUUUAUAUGGGAAUAAAAUGUUCCACGUGUGGGAUUUUGUAUGUACCAUAUGAAUAAGGAUCGGCUAACUCCGUGCCAGCAGCCGCGGUAAUACGGAGGAUCCGAGCGUUAUCCGGCUUUAUUGGGUUUAAAGGGAGCGUAGGUGGAUUGUUAAGUCAGUUGUGAAAGUUUGCGGCUCAACCGUAAAAUUGCAGUUGAAACUGGCAGUCUUGAGUACAGUAGAGGUGAGCGGAAUUCGUGGUGUAGCGGUGAAAUGCUUAGAUAUCACGAAGAACUCCGAUUGCGAAGGCAGUUCACUGGACUGCAACUGACACUGAGGCUCGAAAGUGUGGGUAUCAAACAGGAUUAGAUACCCCUGUAGUC
rnacentral:rRNA from 1 species